CGGCACUCUGGAGACGCCCGGCACGCGCCGGGGGCCGAAGGUGAAAGCGCCGGCGUGGCCGGUGCGAAUCUCUCAGGCAAAAGGACAGAGCC
rnacentral:ncRNA from 1 species